AAGACUCACGGGUAAUUUUAAUGGCGGCUCGAUGUGAUUGUUAUGUUGCCCGUUUCAUACUGUUUUUCUUAUCUUUUCCGAAGCGCUUUACGCCAACAUUUGUUACUUGUAGCCCCGAGAUAUUUGCAUCUAACAGGCGUAUCGAGGAAAGACGAAGAAAAGGAACAAGGAGGCUACUACGAGUUUACCGGGCCAGUACCACAAGAUCAGUUGUUGGUUAAGUUUGCAAAGAGCACAGGUCCUGGUGGUCAAAAUGUCAACAAAGUUAACACAAAAGUCGAUGUUCGUUUCCACGUCCCCUCGGCCAACUGGAUCCCAGAGGAGGUUCGCUUGAAACUUCUAGAGCGAGAAAAAAACAGAAUCAAUAAAGACAAUGAGCUAGUCAUCAGCUCCACCAAGCACAGAUCUCAGCACCGUAAUCUUCAAGAUGCCAUCUGUAAAAUUGAAGAGAUGGUCAAAGAGGCAUCAUACAUACCAAGAGAACCAUCUGAGGAACAACGCAAGCAUGUGAAGAAGCUGUAAUUUUUUUUAAAAAACCCUUUCGUAGCUUUAAUUUGCAUCGAAACAAUGUUUCCUCCAAGCACCUUUGACCUGGGGCUAAGAGGUUCAACGAGCAGAGACUUCAACAUAAGAAAACCCUGGCCAUUAAGAAAAGAGAAAGAAGAGUUGAUGACUGAAAACAUUCUGGUAUCUUAAGAAAGAUAAGCAAACAUAUGGCUUGAGAUGUGCGCUCUGGGGCCUUAUUCGCUCCCCAAUGCCUACCUUGAAGCAUCACCACUACAAACCAAGGCACUUGGAGACGCUGUCUAGACUUUGGUAACAUUGCACACUAAUCCUGCCAUUGGAGCUGUGCACAAAAAUGCAAGUAACAAAACUUAUACUGCAAUAAAAAUGAAACUGUUCAAGA